GGGUUCAGGUUUAAGUUCAGGCUGGGGUUUGGGCUGGGGUUCAGGCUCGGGUUCGGGCUGGGGUUCAGGUUUAAGUUCAGGCUGGGGUUCGGGCUGGAGUUCAGGCUGGGGUUCGGGAUGGGGUUCAGGCUCGGGUUUGGGCUAGGGUUCAGGUUUAAGUUCAGGCUCGGGUUUGGGCUGGGGUUCAGGCUCGGGUUUGGGCUGGGGUUCAGGUUUAAGUUCAGGCUCGGGUUUGGGCUGGGGUUCAGGUUUAAGUUCAGGCUCGGGUUUGGGCUGGGGUUCAGGCUCGGGUUUGGGCUGGGGUUCAGGUUUAAGUUCAGGCUCGGGUUUGGGCUGGGGUUCAGGUUUAAGUUCAGGCUCGGGUUUGGGCUGGGGUUCAGGUUUAAGUUCAGGCUCAGGUUUGGGCUGGGGUUCAGGUUUAAGUUCAGGCUCGGGUUUGGGCUGGGGUUCAGGCUCGGGUUUGGGCUGGGGUUCAGGUUUAAGUUCAGGCUCGGGUUUGGGCUGGGGUUCAGGUUUAAGUUCAGGCUCAGGUUUGGGCUGGGGUUCAGGUUUAAGUUCAGGCUGGGGUUUGGGCUGGGGUUCAGGUUUAAGUUCAGGCUCGGGUUUAGGCAGACAAUCUAAACUCUAGUAUGCAGAACUCUUUCUGAUGCCAGCACUUGGCUCAGCAGAACAAAACGUUGAGAAAGCACAUAGCUUUGCUUACUUGUUCAGACGCAGUUUAUUUAGAGGCAGAUAUUUAAUUUUUUUUGUUAUGUUACUUUAUUGUUCUACUCUUCUGCUGAGUUUUUUGAUCUUUUGAUUGUUUAGUUGGUUAUUUUUUUAUUUUUAAAUAAUUUCAUAUUUAUUUUUAUUUUAAUUAUUAUUUUUUUGUUAUUUAUUUUCUAUUAUAUUAAAGAGCAGACCUUAUUUGCCUCACAAAGUAAUACUUGAGACUAGGGCUUGGCGAUAUGGAAAAAAAAUCUUCUCACAAUAUAGUUUUCCAUAUCAGCCGAUAUCUAUACACUUAAAGAUUUCUUUUUACUCAUAAUUGACACAUGUAUGGCCCUUAAAACAUGUACAAGGGACAAAUAUAUAAACUAAAAAAAAAGCAAUAGCACUUGGAUUUUUAAUAAAAUUAUUUUUAAUCAAAUGAUUAUUCCCCUCCCUGAAUGCAGGCAGCUACGUAAAGCAAAAUACAAGAGUAUUCAUUUUGACACCUGUUCAUUUUGACAGGUGAUCUUGAUUUAGUUUUAGUCUUUUGACUAAAAUGUAUAAUAGUUUUAGCUACAUUUUAGUCUAGUUUUAGUCUAAUCAUAUAAAAGUAUGUAUUACAUAUGUUUUACUAUUUUUCUAUUUUAUAUUUGUUGUUAUUUUGAGAUUAUUUACUGCUAAUGUUUAUGAAAAUAAUAGCCUUUAAGUUUGUUUGCAUUUAAAUUAUGCUAACAUUUAAAUAUUUUAAAGCAAGUGACCUGUAAUGGAGAUGGGACAAAUAAAGUCAAGUUUCUGAAAUGAUACACUUCUACUGCAGUACAGAUUUAUACUAACAUUACUGGCUUUCAGUAGACUAGACUUACAUUACUUAACAAGUGUAUUUAAAACUCAUUCAGUUCAAUAACAGCAAUGUUUAGGUCCGUUCAAAAACAGCUACACAGAUUAUAUCAUCUUCUGUAUUUAGUAAAAUAUCCAGAACAACAGACUCUCUAUCUGUUAAAAACUAAAAACACAAGGACAGAGGAGAAUUCUGCCCUCAGGGGUUUCUAACAGAAACAGUGAGACGGAAAGUGCUGCUUCUCUGUGUGUUUAUAUACUAACCCCUCUCUCGUGCUGAAGUUAACGUUAAUUUACACCGAAAGUGGAUUAACACGGCUAACAUGCGCUACCCAUUAGUUUAUUAGAGUGUAAAAAGCAGUGAAGGCACCUUAGCUAAUGAUGACAGAUUGCACAGAUCCCUUUUACACCGUAAACAUCGCUAACUCUGAACUCAGACAAGCUAACCUAACUAAAAGCAAACAGAGCAGCAAUAGCUGCCUUCAGAAAUCUGAACAAGCUCACCUCUCUAAAUAUCUUGGGGACGAGACGCAUGUCACAUAUUUAAGAGGUGAGUUUUCCCUGGUAGCGCAGAUGAACUUAACUUAGUAAAUGUGAGAGAAGCAGCCGCUGUGUGAGGAGUUCAGAGUGAGGGGGUGGGGGAGGGGAGGGGUUGUUCUGGGCUGAGCAUGCAGUUCAGCGCGCUGCCUGAUCGUGUGCUGCGCCUGUUUGCAGCGCUACUUAAACGGAAAAUAGAAAAUAAAGUUUAUCGAAUCCUAUCGUCCGGCUUAUUAUAGCUAUCGCGAUAUAUAAUUUCCUCAAUAACUAUCGAUAUCGUUUUAUCGCCUAGCACUGUUUGAGACUUGACUCGGACUCGUGAUCAAAGACUUGUGAGCAUCUCUGAUGUUUAGUUAAACAGCAGCAAUAGCUCUCACCUAACUAUGCCACAAAACAAAGGUACCAUCACUAAGGGUAUCAUAUCGUUUUUGUUUGUGAUACAUUUUCUGUAUGUAGUGUCAAACAUGGAUCCCUAAAAUUCUGUAAAACUGAAACUAAUAAAUUCAUGAUUCGUGGUAUUUGCUUAUUUAGGAGUAUUGUAUACUCUUUAGUAGCACAAUAGUAUCUUUUUAAUUGUCUUGGUAUUAUCAUGGUAUUAUCAUGGGCAUCAUAGUGUGAUAAUAUUGCAUUGUGUGAUGCCCUGAAAUUUCCACCCCUAAUCAGUCACACAAAAACGUUUGGAAAUAAUGUAAAUUAUUAUCUGUAAAUUAUUUUUAUUGUGUUGAAGUUUGUUGAUGACUGGUCCAAUAAUAAUACUCCAAGUUAGUUUUUUUCACUGUAAAACUGCCUUUUUGGAAAUAUGAGGACAUGACACAUUUGUUUGUGUGUGUGUGUGUGUGUGUGUGU